CCUUAUCAAGAGUGGUGGAGGGUCUGGGCCCUAUGAAACCCGGCAACCUGAGUAAUCGAGGUGCUAAAUCCCACAGACAAUGUCUGAAAGAUGAGG
rnacentral:ncRNA from 1 species